AAAUAAAAGCAGAAGCACCCGCUUCUCGCCUGAGUGAAGAUAUCGCUGGGCAGAAUAGGAUUCCUACCAUUUAUUUGUGUGGAGUACGUGCGGGUUCGUGAAGAACUCGUUUUUUUAUUGUCUG
rfam:Enterococcus sp. 2G9_DIV0600 scaffold00001, whole genome shotgun sequence.